rnacentral:rRNA from 1 species
UGACAGUACUCCUACGGGAGGCAGCAGUGGGGAAUAUUGCACAAUGGGCGCAAGCCUGAUGCAGCAACGCCGUGUGAGUGAAGAAGGUUUUCGGAUCGUAAAACUCUGUCCUAAGGGAAGAAACAAAUGACGGUACCUUAGGAGGAAGCCCCGGCUAACUACGUGCCAGCAGCCGCGGUAAUACGUAGGGGGCAAGCGUUAUCCGGAAUCACUGGGCGUAAAGGGUGCGUAGGCGGCUUAGCAAGCCAGGGGUGAAAGGCAUUGGCUCAACCAAUGUAAGCCUUUGGAACUGUUAAGCUUGAGUGCAGGAGAGGUAAGUGGAAUUCCUAGUGUAGAGGUGAAAUUCGUAGAUAUUAGGAGGAACACCAGUGGCGAAGGCGACUUACUGGACUGUAACUGACGCUGAUGCACGAAAGCGUGGGUAGCGAACAGGAUUAGAUACCCUGGUAG